UCACUGACCUGGUUUCAAAGCGCGAGGCUUCAUCAAACUGUUGUUGUGGAUGUUUGAAUGUUAUUUAUCUGCUAUUAGCUGAUAUUUCUCUGUGGAUGCGGAUGUUGAGGGUGUUUGUUUGGUUUGACAUGUUUUAAAGAGAGAGUGAGAGGGGGGGGGGCGGAUACUCGGUGUCCCUCAGCCUCCGCCCGCCUCCUCUGGCUCCGUCCAAACCGGCCGAGGGGCGCAGGAGGAGCCGCAGAGCCGCCGACAGAGGAGGAGGGGGGGACUGCCGCUCCGACACCGGGAGACAGGGGCGAUGGCCGCCGGCUUAGGAUGCGGGGAAUCGGUGGAUCAGUACCGAGCCGAGGUGCAGCGGCUCACCCAGGAGCUGGCCGAGGCGAACCGGGAGAAGAUCCGGGCUGCGGAGUGCGGACUGGUGGUGCUGGAGGAGAACCAGGCGCUGAAGCACAAGUAUGCGGAGCUGGAGACCGAGCAGGAGACCCUCAGGAAGGAGUUGGAGCAGUUGCAGGAGGCGUUCGGCCAGGCCUACACCAACCAGCGUAAGGUGGCGGAGGAUGGGGAGACCAACGAGGAGACACUGCUGCAGGAAUCCGCCUCCAAAGAGGCCUACUACACUGGACGUGUGUUGGAGCUGAAGACGGAGGUGACGCUGAGCCGCUCGGUGGCGUCCAACGCCCAGGCGGAAAACGAGCGGCUCAACGCGCUCGUGCACGAGCUGCGAGAGAGCAACGAGACGCUGGAGCUGCAGAGGAGCAGGAUGAGGGAGGAGAUCAAGGAGUACAAGUUCAGAGAGACCAGGCUUCUCCAGGAUUACACCGAGCUGGAGGAGGAGAACAUCACGCUGCAGAAACUGGUCUCCACUCUCAAGCAAAAUCAGGUGGAGUAUGAGGGACUCAAGCAUGAAAUCAAGGUGCUGGAGGAGGAGACCGUCCUUCUCAACAGCCAGCUCGAAGACGCUUUACGUCUGAAGGACAUCUCCGAGGGUCAGUUAGAAGAGGCCCUGGACGCCCUGAAGAGUGAGCGUGAGCAGAAGAACAACCUGAGAAAGGAACUCGCCCACCACCUCAGCCUGAGCGACAGCGUCUACGGGGCCGGGGCCCAUCUCGCGCUCACCGUCACCGGCGUCGAGGGCCUCAAGUUCCCAGAGGAGACGAUUGUAUCCAACGGCACCAACGGCAGCACCCUCCCCGCCGCUAAUGGCAAUAAUGAGGACAGCAACUGGCGCAACGGUCACAUCCACGUGGGCACGGGGCUGGCGAAGAUGAACGGGGAGUAUCGCCCGGGCCGGAAGGGAGAAGCCCUGCACCCGGUGCCGGACCUGUUCAGUGAGCUCAACCUGUCAGAGAUGCAGAAGCUCAAACAGCAGCUGCUGCAGGUGGAGUGUGAGAAGGCCGCGCUGCUCUUGAACCUGCAGGAGUCACAGACCCAGCUGCAGCACACGCAGGGCGUCCUGACCGAGCAGAACGAGCGCGUGCAUCGUCUCACGGAACGCGCCAAUGCCAUGAAACGUCUCAACGGCGACAAAGAGCUUGAUGACCCUCAAGAGAGCGAGAAGCCCGAUGGUGGCUCGGUGUCGCCGCCGGCAAAUGGUCACCAUGAUCCCGACAUCCACGGGUUCGAGAUCCUGGAGUGUAAGUACAAGGUGGCGGUGACGGAGGUGAUCGACCUGAAAGCGGAGCUCAAGGCCCUGAAGGAGAAGUAUAACCAGGCGGUGGAGGGUCAGGGAGACGGCCACAGUGACGACAGGGUCCAAGCACUGAGUGAACAGCAGGUAACUCAUCUGGAGCGCAGUCACCGUGAAGGCCGAGAGAGGGUGACGAGCCUGGAGGCCGAGCUGCGAGCGGCCACGUGCACGGCCACGGAGAGUCAGGGGAUGCUGAACACAGCGCAGGACGAGCUGGUAACCUUCAGUGAAGAACUGGCACAGCUCUACCACCACGUCUGCAUGUGCAACAACGAGACACCCAAUCGCGUGAUGCUGGACUACUACCGCCAGAGCCGCGUCACACGCAGCGGCAGCCUGAAGGGCUCCGAUGGUCCUCGGGCUUUGCUCUCGCCUCGCUUGGCACGACGCCUCGCUGCAGCAGCCGCAGCUUGCUCCCAUGAGCCCCAGAGCAGUCCCAUGGGCUCCCCAUCCAAAGACGCCCAUCACAACGAGACGACGGCCAACACAGGGGACUCCUCGUCCUGCCACAGCAGCCCCACCCGCAACCUCACGGGCUCCCCAGGCAUCAGCAUCUCUCCUUGCCCGUCUCCACUGCACUCAGAGGUAGUAGGGGACCUGCGGAAGGAGCCCAUGAACAUCUACAACCUGAACGCCAUCAUCAGAGACCAGAUCAAACACCUCCAGAAGGCCGUCGACCGCUCGCUGCAGCUGUCCAGGCAGAGGGCUGCGGCCAGGGAGCUGGCUCCAAUGCUGGACAAGGACAAGGAGUCGUGCAUGGAGGAGAUACUCAAGCUCAAGUCCCUGCUCAGCACCAAGAGAGAGCAGAUAGCCACACUCAGGCUGGUGCUCAAGGCCAAUAAACAGACGGCAGAGGGUGCGCUGGCUAAUUUGAAGAGCAAGUAUGAGAAUGAGAAGUCGAUGGUGACCGAGACCAUGAUGAAGCUGAGAAACGAGCUGAAGGCUCUGAAAGAAGACGCCGCCACCUUCUCGUCUCUCAGGGCCAUGUUCGCCACGAGGUGCGAUGAGUACGUGACCCAGCUGGAUGAGAUGCAGAGGCAGCUGGCGGCAGCGGAGGACGAGAAGAAGACGUUGAACUCCCUCCUCCGCAUGGCCAUCCAGCAGAAACUGGCCUUGACCCAGCGUCUGGAGGAUCUGGAGUUUGACCACGAGCAGAUCUACCGUGGCCGCGGCGCCAAAGUGCCGAAGAUUAGAAGCAGCCCGCCCAAAGUAAGUUGCAGAGGCGCCUUCACGGCUCCACCCAGCCCUACCAGGCUCCACAGCCCCUCCAUCCUCACCAGCUCCUUCCCAACCCUCGGUAGACCCCCCCCCGUAGAGAAUCCAUCCUGUCCGUCCAUGUCUGCGUGGAUUUCUGAAACAAUCCAGACCUCAGCUUCAACAUUGCCCGACUUGCGUUGCUCCGGUUUGUCUCAGGACAGCUCUGACUGGUUAACCGAGUUCAGCCGACUCAAUUACUCAAGACAAGACAUAGGUAAACUGUCCCCAUCACACAGACCCAGAAAAUAUAGCUCUCGCUCAGUGUCUCCUCGCGCUCGGAGAAGACUUUGAUUCCUCGUCGUCUGCACACUCAUGUCCACAGAAGCCUCAGGAUGAGGUGGGACACAGAGGGGAGGUUUGAAAACUGGUUUCACAUGUGAACAUACAGCAGCACUGAGGACGAAGGAGCCCGGGACAAACUGCUCCAUCCUCAACACAGCACUGAACCUAUUGAAAGAUGAACAGUAAAGAAUUUUCCAUUAAAGUUCAUAAAUCAGGCAUUUUUACCGGCAUCUGAAUAGUUCCUAAUAUAACAUAUUAUAUCAUAUAUCACUCUCCUAUAUCAGUGUUUCAAAGUGAAAACCAAGCAAAAAAAUGGCUGCAGCUUCUCUUUAAAGAUACAGUGUCUCAGAGCGCCUCCCAGUGGCACUUUAAGUAAAUUACACAUUGGAAUUGUAUUUAUGUUUUUACAAAGACAGAAACGAUUGAACCCAUUUCAUUAAGCUUAUGACAUGUUGGUUUUUAUCUGCUGUAAAAUCAUCGUUCAUCUUUGCAUGCAUCAUAUGUUCACAUCUAAGGUUCUGUCAAAAGGCAUUUGACAGGCUCAGAGUGGUUAAUGUGAUAGAAACCAGUCGCUCCUCCUCUCUGUGGCCCGACGUUCAUCAGUCUCCUUCUACCACGCAUGUCGUUUAAAAAAAAGAACAGCAUCAUUAUUCCUCCACUCAUGAUUCCCUUAUUAAAACAUGCUUCCAGUGCUGCAGACUCUUCCCACUGGGUGACAGCGUUUGAACACAUUUCCCUUCUCUCUCCUGUCAAAUGCUGUUUGACCUCAGAGCUCGACUUGAAUGGACUAAAAAAUAAAUAUAUUUUGAAGUUGUGUUAGAAAAUGAAACUUUAUUCCUCUCGUGAGCAGCAGUUGUUCUGGAGUUGAGCCGGACUGGAUUGUUCAGCGUUAGUCCCACGUGUGUGUUGUGCUUUACAAAUCAAUACAAUACUGGAUUUGCAUUGAUGUGCAUUUGUGUGUGUGUGUGUGGUGUCCAUGUUUUUGUCUCUUUGGGUGAUAUGUGUUGUGUCUACCUCCAUUGCUGAAUGUGUAGCUGUACUGAAACUGGUCCUGUCAGUGUGGUCAGAUGAUCGAUGGACUGAUAUGAGCCUUUCAUAGACAUUUACCCCAAAGAAUAAACAAAGCAGGGAGGAUGUGCAUUUAUGUUCGAUGUUUAUUUUCUUAAUUCAAGUUCAAACAUUCAUAUGGUUUUAUUUUUGGUUUUCUUUAUGGUUAAACUGUAAAAUAUUAAGCCUCAAUUACAUUUCUUUGUAAUUAGUUUUUCAUAAGGAAAUAAAUACAUAUAUACUGUAUAUAGGUAUUGCUAAAUUUUUACUCCCUAAUGUGGGUCUUAGCAUAGAUAUCGAUCAGGCUCUAGUUAUUUAUAGGUUAUAUUUGACUUCAUGUAUCUUCCUUAGCUUCCUCUACCCUUUUCUCAUCGACUCUAUUUAAACAUUAAACCUGCUUCCUGUUUGUUAGAAACCAAAACCAAGUAUAACUACAUGAGGAAGACAGUCACAGAUGUAAACUAGUGUCUAUGGAUGAGAAUCUUAUAAUUACUGCAUUAUAAAGGCCCAAUCAGUCUGUUUCUUUGUCCCUGACCAGGCCGUCCCCUGUCUUGUCCCCCUGUUUCCUCUGUUCUUGUUGACUAACCCUGAGUGUCACCACUCUGUAUAUCUGUCUAAUUUAUCAGUUUCUUGUAGAUUGUCAGCAGUCUGCUGCCUCAGUAUCGUCACUUUCACCACAACUAAGGCGAGGGCGAGCGUCCCUAGCCCGCAGUCGUAAGUUUGUGGCAGACCUGCAGGAUCACCACGCAGUUCUGACCAGCGGCAUUCGCCUCC